AAUAGAUACCCAGGUAGUCCACGCCGUAAACGAUGAGUACUAGGUGUAGGAGGGUCCAACCUUCUGUGCCGCAGUUAACACAAAUAAGUAACUCCGCCUGGGAAGUACGAUCGCAAGAUUAAAACUCAAAGGAAUUGACGGGGGCCCGCACAAGCAGCGGAGCAUGUGGUUUAAUUCGAAGUCAACGCGAAGAACCUUACCUGGACUUGACAUCCCCUGAAUAGCCUAGAGAUAGGUGAAGCCCUUCGGGGCAGGGAGACAGGUGGUGCAUGGUUGUCGUCAGCUCGUGUCGUGAGAUGUUAGGUUAAGUCCUGCAACGAGCGCAACCCCUAUCAUUAGUUGCUACCAUUAAGUUGAGCACUCUAGUGAGACUGCCGGUUAACCGGAGGAAGUGGGGAUGACGUCAAAUCAUCAUGCCCCUUAUGUCCAGGGCUACACACGUGCUACAAUGGUGGGUACAGAGAGAUGGCAAGACCGCGAGGUGGAGCUAAACUCAAAAACCCAUCCCGAGUUCGGAUUGUAGGCUGCAACUCG
rnacentral:rRNA from 1 species